GGCCUGGGGGCGGCGAUCCCCUCACGAGGCUCCGGCCGAAGCAUCGCGUCCAGUCUGCUCUCUCGCAGGGACGCGCCAUG
rfam:Methylobacterium sp. 4-46, complete genome.